AUGGGAAAAUGGCUGCCCCAAAGACGCUGAGUCAAGAGUUUACAGUGAGGCUGCUGCAGUACUGCGAAAUUCCUCUUAAAUUCACAUUUAUAUUCAAUUAAGCGGUUAAUAAGGAGCCAUUUCCUGUUUCGAUAUAACUUAAGCUGACAAGAGGUCUAUGGCAGGCGGACAGAAGGACAACCUGACCUACUGACUGCUUCAGUGGAUGGAUAUUGAUGAAGAGGACGGCAUUCCAGGCUUGUUUAAAUAAGGCCUGCCGGCCUGCCUGCCUGCCUGCCUGCCUGCCUGCCUGCCUGCCUGGGCGCGGGUGGAUUCCCCUCUGGCCCUUUGACCUUUGACCUAAAGUGCAUUCCGUAUGUAAAGUGAGGAAUUCUUCUGAAGUUCAGUUAAUGGGGUUGAGUUUUUUCAUCCUUUGGACUCUGCUCGUACUCUCGCCCACUAGAAGUGGAAAAACAAGCUCCAUGUGUACAUGUGAGUUAUGGAUGAGGUUCAUUGUUUAUCGGUGGCGGUUAAAGAUCAAUAUCCCCCUGCCCAACCCCCACCCCUGCUUUUUAAAACUAGACUAUUAAUCCUGUGGGAUCAUGGCUAAUUGAUUUAAUAGAGCAUACUCUGGAGUGGAAGUGUUGGAGGAAGUGGGGUGUGCUUAGUCCUUCAGACACUUUGAGUACAGGAUUGUGAAACUGUUUCAGUUAUCAGUGUUGUGUUUCCCUCCAAGAGGUUAUGAGUUAUCUGAAUUGAAGGUCUAUGGAUAGGUUGUAAAUCCUUGUGAGAUAACCUUCUGAUUUUGAGGUUUUACAAAUAAAAACUCACCUUAGUUUUUAGUUGAACACAUGUCAAUCACACAACACGUGUGAGAAAGUGAAACAUUUAUUUGGUCUGGAGGUGUGCUCACCCCUGGAUUGGAAAGAGACAAUAUUUCUGAUGGCUCAUUUGAAUGUCAAUU